AACGAACGCUGGCGGCAGGCCUAACACAUGCAAGUCGAACGCCCCUUCGGGGGAGUGGCAGACGGGUGAGUAACGCGUGGGAACCUACCCAACGGUACGGAAUAACUUCAGGAAACCGGAGCUAAUACCGUAUACGCCCUUCGGGGGAAAGAUUUAUCGCCGAUGGAUGGGCCCGCGUUUGAUUAGCUAGUUGGUGGGGUAAAAGCCUACCAAGGCGACGAUCAAUAGCUGGUCUGAGAGGAUGAUCAGCCACACUGGGACUGAGACACGGCCCAGACUCCUACGGGAGGCAGCAGUGGGGAAUAUUGGACAAUGGGCGCAAGCCUGAUCCAGCCAUGCCGCGUGAGUGACGAAGGCCUUAGGGUUGUAAAACUCUUUCGCCGAUGAAGAUAAUGACAUUAGUCGGUAAAGAAGCCCCGGCUAACUCCG
rnacentral:rRNA from 1 species